UACAUAGGCUCCAAGCGUUGUUCGGAAUUACUGGGCGUAAAGCGAGUGUAGGCUGUCCGCCAAGUCGAUUGUGAAAUCUCCCGGCUCAACUGGGAGGGUGCGGUCGAAACUGGCGGACUAGAGUUCGGGAGAGGAGAGUGGAAUUCCUGGUGUAGCGGUGAAAUGCGUAGAUAUCAGGAGGAACACCGGCGGUGAAGACGGCUCUCUGGACCGAUACUGACGCUGAGACUCGAAAGCGUGGGGAGCAAACAGG
rnacentral:ncRNA from 4 species